UCCGCAGGCGGGCAAUUAAGUCAGGGGUGAAAUGGUGCGGCUCAACCGUAGCACUGCCCUUGAUACUGGUUGUCUUGAGUCAUAGUGAAGUGGCCGGAAUAUGUAGUGUAGCGGUGAAAUGCAUAGAUAUUACAUAGAACACCGAUUGCGAAGGCAGGUCACUAACUAUCGACUGACGCUGAUGGACGAAAGCGUGGGAAGCGAACAGGAUUAGAUACCCUGGUAGUCC
rnacentral:rRNA from 1 species